ensembl:antisense 1700084E18Rik RIKEN cDNA 1700084E18 gene
AAAGAGAAGCCGGCGCCGGGAAGCCCACGGCCAAGAACUGUAAGAGCUGGUGGGGGAGCUGUCAAGAGAACCCCGGGUGGAACCUCUGGGAAGGGGGCGCGUGCGCCAAGGGGCGCGGAUCUGCGGGGACCAGCGCGGCAAGUGCGGCCUGAGGACCGCGGCGGAAACUCGGGUGAGAGGCGCGCGGAGAACAGGGUGCCCGGGAGGGGGCUCGCGCGCCGCCGCACGGCCUGGAGGGUGGAGACCGGAGCCGGCGCCCGCGGGAGGCAGGGCGGAGCGAAGCCCAGCGCGGGGCCAGGGUGGCCGGCGCCCCUGGGCAGCGAGAGCCCCGCAGAACUUGAAGGGGCGGAGCGCGCGUCCGAGGAGAGCGUCCCGUGCGGUGACAGCGCGCGUCUCAUCCCCCACCCGACCCGCUCACCUGGGCUCUCCGCUCGCAGCCGCCCGGCAGGCAGCCCGGGCCCUCCACCUCCCAGUCCGGCCGCCCGCCGCCGCGCUCCUCCAGCGCCUCCUUUUGUUUGUCCCUCACUGCACCACUCUGCCUCCCCCGCCCCGGAAGUGACGUCACGGCCGGACGCACCCGCGGCAUCCCGGCCGUCGCCAUGUCUGUUAAGGGGAAAGCUUGAGGCGGCUUCACCCUACUCCCGUCCACGUGCCUGCGCCAAGCCACUUCGGGGCGGAAGUAACGGGACAGAACUAAGCCCCCUUAAAGGGACAGGGAUCCCUGCAACUUAAGGGAUGCGUUACUCUGGCCAGAGCGGCCAAGUGACCCAAGCUGACGCAAGUAUCCGCUCACCUCCUUUGUUCGGGUUCCGAUCGCCAUUGGGCCAGCGUCCUCAUACCUUUAGUGCUGCUCGUUAGCUGACUCGCUGCCCAAACUCUUCAGGUGCCCGCAAAUGUAACUGCCCUGCUGAUGCUGACGCGCGCCUCGACACGUCCGGCUUGCGACGGUUGUCCCUGAAAAGCCGCAUAAUUCCGAGUUAACUGAAUGGCUUCUCCGCCGCCGCUGCAAUAAACACAGUUGAACUAAAUUUAAAGGUUUCUUGGGCGAUUAGUCGCGCCCCGGCGAGUUCACUGUCUCACACUAGGAGAUCUUUGAAGUCGUUGGACUGGACUGGGUUAGGAACUUUUUGUAGAAGAGGGGAGAGAGGUAGUGCCGUGCUUGAGAAGGUAUUGGAGUUUAGGAAUCUGGUAGGUGUGUCCUGAGUCCAGUGGUCACUUUGAAACUAAGUAUCUGCUUUAUCCAGUAUUUUGCUCCGACUUUUGUAAGCAAGGGCUUCUGGUGGGGAUCUCUUUGUCCGGUUCCCCGGCUUCUGGCUGGAGAUAGAGGAUUGGCAGAGGGUGUGAGGGGAAUUCUCUAUCGGGAAACCUCCAGCCUAACGUUAGCAGCGAAUUUUGAGCUGAGCUGAGGAUAAAACCACAUCUUCAGAACC